GGGGAAUAUUGGGCAAUGGGGGAAACCCUGACCCAGCAACGCCGCGUGAGGGAAGAAGGUUCUCGGAUCGUAAACCUCUGUCCUAUGAGAAGAGGGGAAGACGGUAUCAUAGGAGGAAGCCCCGGCUAACUACGUGCCAGCAGCCGCGGUAAUACGUAGGGGGCGAGCGUUGUCCGGAAUGAUUGGGCGUAAAGGGCGCGUAGGCGGCUUUAUAAGUCUGGAGUGAAAGUCCUGUUUUCAAGAUGGGAAUUGCUUUGGAUACUGUAGAGCUUGAGUGCAGGAGAGGUUAUCGGAAUUCCCGGUGUAGCGGUGAAAUGCGUAGAGAUCGGGAGGAACACCAGUGGCGAAGGCGGGUAACUGGACUGCAACUGACGCUGAGGCGCGAAAGUGUGGGGAGCAAAC
rnacentral:rRNA from 1 species